rnacentral:rRNA from 1 species
AGUGAACGCUGGCGGUAGGCCUAACACAUGCAAGUCGAACGGCAGCACAGUAAGAGCUUGCUCUUACGGGUGGCGAGUGGCGGACGGGUGAGGAAUACAUCGGAAUCUACUUUUUCGUGGGGGAUAACGUAGGGAAACUUACGCUAAUACCGCAUAAGACCUACGGGUGAAAGCAGGGGAUCUUCGGACCUUGCGCGAUUGAAUGAGCUGAUGUCGGAUUAGCUAGUUGGCGGGGUAAAGGCCCACCAAGGCAACGAUCCGUAGCUGGUCUGAGAGGAUGAUCAGCCACACUGGAACUGAGACACGGUCCAGACUCCUACGGGAGGCAGCAGUGGGGAAUAUUGGACAAUGGGCGCAAGCCUGAUCCAGCCAUACCGCGUGGGUGAAGAAGGCCUUCGGGUUGUAAAGCCCUUUUGUUGGGAAAGAAAAGCAGCAGGUUAAUACCCCGCUGUUCUGACGGUACCCAAAGAAUAAGCACCGGCUAACUUCGUG